rnacentral:rRNA from 1 species
GAUUUCUGGCUUGAAACAUUUAGCCGGCCACGGUUUCGUGUGUUAGUGCUAGAUGUUCUGGCCAUCCUUCCAAUCGCUAUUCAUGUCUCUUCAUUGAGGCGUGAGUGGUAUUGGAUCUUUUACUUUGAAAAAAUUAGAGUGUUUCAAGCAGGCUUUAUGCUAUGAAUACAUUAGCAUGGAAUAAUAAUUUAGGACUUCGGUUCUAUUUUGUUGGUUUCUAGGACUGAAGUAAUGAUUGAUAGGGAUAGUUGGGGGUGCUAGUAUUCAGUGGCCAGAGGUGAAAUUCUUGGAUUCACUGAAGACUAACUUAUGCGAAAGCAUU